rnacentral:lncRNA from 1 species
AUUCUUAUAUAUAUUUUUUAUUUACUAUGGAAAAUUUAGUAAUAUGUUAUAAUUAUUAGAGAUUUGUUAUAAAUGAUUUGGUUUGGAUUGGUUUGGGAGACUCUGACUAAAAAACCGUAGUUAACAGCGGUUUUGAGGUUAACUUAGAUGCAUCUAACUCAGACCUCAACUAGCAUGGGCGUUGCUAGCCUAACGUGUAGGCUACACGUUGGAUCUGUUAUACCGUUCGGGCACACUAGAGGAAAGGGCUACCCUUAGAGGUGGAGCCGCCCUAGGUGUGUAAUAUUUGAUUUGAUUUGCCUUCUGGAAUGAGAACUCACAUUUCAGUUCAUCCACUUAACAAUUUAUCUAUUUGUUUGCAUAAUUAAUUAAUACGAAAGAGCAAUGCUAUCAAUGAUUAUCAAUAAUGAACAAAAUUGGAAGAGGAAGAAGAAAAGGGAGAAACUUUACCCUCUGCAGCAACCAUUUUUGGCGCAACAUUUCUUGACACCGUUGCACAUAGUUCCCGGCCAUUGCAACGACAACGCGAAAUAAUCGAACUCUCUCUGCUUCUUCCCUAAUCCUCCUCCAACUACGCUUUCAAUUUCAUCCAAAUCUUCUUCCAUCACCGAGAAGCCACUAUCGGCGGUGACAACCACCGCGGCGGCGGCGGCGAGGAGCAGAAGGAGAAGAAAAGCUCGAUCGGAGGAGCGAGUCAUCGUCAAUGGCGAAAAUAUAAUUUUCAAGGUAAACUCUGUAUUGUCUCGUGUGGGUUAUAGAUGUAAUGUUUGUUUACUGAGUUGCAAAACUCACCCUAUUAUAUUCCCAUGUUUUUCAGAUACAGGAGUCAUUCCAGGUUCCAUUCCACCUGCCUCUCAGUAGAUCUUAGUCACUUUGGUGAGCCCUUCUUCUUUCCAAGGGCUAAGUAAUUAUGUAAUGGAACCUUUACUCAAAAUUUAGAUUAUGUCAAUGCUCCAUAUAUCACAGGCAGGAUCCUCGUGUGGGUUAUGUUAUUUUGAAUCUUGAACUGUUUAGGUAGUAAUUAUGAUUUGGUUAUGUAUGACUUAUAAAUUUAACCAUAUACUCUAGUUAUCAACUUGAUAUAUAUAUAUUAUGCGUAUUUUGGAUAUACUUGAUGGUGGAUAUGAUUGGAAUGUGUUGUUGUUGUUGUUGUCCUUGGAAAUGGAUAUUUAUUAUUGAUACAGGAAAUUAAUAUUUAUGUUGGUAAGGUCCUAGAAACAGAGGAGAUUCUAUCCGUUUUUCUGAAAAUUUGGUCGUUUGGCUUGCUGAGGAACUUGUCCCUUGAGCGUCAGUCAUGGCUUGGUCCGGGCCAUGACAUAAAUACAUCCAUAACAUUAGGAGUUUGUUCGGUAACUAUCUUAUCUGACUCCAUAGUCUCAAUAUAUCUGCAUCUGUCUUAAGAAACAGUAUAAGAAACAUUUGGACUAAUCUGGUAUUAACAUACACACUAAAAAAAAAUCCACACCAAAACAAUCUUACAUACACACUAAUAAAAAAUCUUACCUACCACAUAACUAAUCUGGUAGUAACAUACAUGAAUAUGUGCUUUUGGAAACAGCCUUCUUUUUUAUUUUAUUUCAGUAAUUUUGGGAUAUGGUGCACAAAUACUCAUUUUAUUAUCAUUGAAUCUUAGUAUGAUCUUGAAUCUUAGUAUGAUCUUUAUUUUUUAUGUUUAAAUUUGUAGUGUUCAUCUUUGGAAUAUAAUGAACAAAUAUUUAUUUUACCAUUGAUCGCUCAUGUAUUAAUGCAUUGGAUAUCAACGAUAAAACAACAAAGAAAUAUACAAAUAAAAAGAAAAAGAAAAUUUAUGAUUUGAUGUGAAUUGAUAUUCACAACUCCUCCACCUGUUAUGCUUCUUCAUGCUAAUAGCAACUUUAUCAUCUUUUCUCCCCAUGUGCUAUGACUAAUUUUCAUAAUGGCAGCCGUUAUCUUUCAAUCUUAUUUUUUCUUUGGAAAAACAAAAGUAAAGGUGGAAAAUGAUUCUUCAUUUCUUUUGCUUGUUUUGACUAAAACUAGCAUUUAAGAUCCAUUCCAGAACUGCAAUGCUCUCAGGACAAUUGCUGCUUGAUCUUCAAAGUAUUUCCUGAAACACAAAUUAUAUAUAUACAUUUCAAAACUAAAUGUUUGUCAUAAUGUCCUCACAAUAACCACAGACACACUUAUGUGAAAACCUCAUUAACACAAUGUUGGAUUAUUGGUUUGAUUUUAGAGUUUGCAGUGAAAAGAAAUGACACCCAAAAACAGGAAGUCAAAACAGAACUAGAGCAAUUAUAAAGAAACUAAAGUGAUUGAUGGUUAUAAUACUGCAAGUUAUAAAAGGAAAAUUUUUUCCAUACACAUAAUACCCUGACUUUACAUAACAAUAACCCCGUAUAUUUGUAGCUAUCCUCUUCAAUUUAGUCCAAAAAGAUCAAAUAUUCUAUGACUGCUUUUUCUUGAAUCAAUUGAAUCCCACUGCAGGUUAAUAUAUGUACAAAAUGCACAUACCAAGAUAAAGAUCAAUGAGUGAAGUUGAUAGGAAUGAAAUUGCUCCUGAUGGCAUCACCAGAACUUCACCUUCUAAUGACUAUUUCAGGUACAGGAUUGUCAACUUUAAAUGUGGAAAGCAUAUUCUUGAAUCCUGUCCGCAUUAGCUACAUACCUUCAUCACCUUGUGAUUAUGUAUCAAAAUCCAGAAAGGAAGAAAUAGUUAUUAUUACAGAACCAUUUCUCUUAAUAUUAGAAAUAGUUUAUUAUAGGCAUCUAAUACUAUUCAUUUUAUGUAAUGAUUCAAACUGUGGUUUAAAAAAAAACGACUACAUAACAAUAACUUGAUCCUUCUAUCUUGAAAGCUUAUAUAGCUCAUGCAUGCUGAUUCCUUUUAUUAUUCCUAUAUGAAUCUUGCAGCACAACAACUGGCUCUGAUCAUAAAGAAUUGACAAAGACAGGAACACCAUUUUAUAACUCUUUUCUUUCCCCAAAUUAAGCUAUUAUUUUGUUUUUUCUCUGUGCGAAACAGCAAAAAUAAAAUUAUAGAGAGGAAUAGAGAAA